UACGUAGGAGGCAAGCGUUGUCCGGAAUUACUGGGCGUAAAGCGCGUGUAGGUGGUGGGGACAAGUCUGCUGUGAAAGCGCCUGGCUUAACCGGGCGAGGUCGGCGGAAACUGUCCGACUCGAGGACGGUAGAGGGGGGUGGAAUUCCCGGUGUAGUGGUGAAAUGCGUAGAGAUCGGGAGGAACACCUGUGGCGAAGGCGGCCCCCUGGGCCGGCCCUGACACUGAGACGCGAAGGCGUGGGGAGCGAACGGG
rnacentral:rRNA from 1 species